UUUAAUUGAAGCCAAAUAAGAGGCAAUUUAUUGUUAAUAAAAAAAUUGAAUUAUAUUCCAAUUAA
rnacentral:tRNA from 1 species